AGCCUUAUGAACUUGAAUUUGCUUCUGCUCAGUGACAGAAAAGGGAAAUGUCUCCAAGCUAACCUACUACCUGGUGCAUCUUAGAUUUUUUUUACACAUGGAGGUAACCUGAAAAUAUGCCAGUGAAUCAAAUCACCUAUACAUCAAUGCUAGAGAAAUAGCAUUUGGUAAACAAAGACUUUUCUGAAUGAAGAUUGAGGAUCUGACCAUCAAUUAUUAGCCCUUAGGAGAAAAAAAAUGAGGCUUUGUACCAUCUCUUGAUAUCACAUGGGAGCUACACUCUGCACCAUAUAAUCCUGUGUUGCAUGAAGUUAAUGCUAGGACUACCACCACAACAGUCUGAUUUCAGAGAAGGACUGAGGUAUACAUGAUCAACUGCAAACAUCCAUCACAUCACUGAAAAAUACGGAGUACAAUCAUCCACUGAACAUGUGUUUUAUUGAUUGCUUAAAAGUGUUUGAUACCAUCUGACAAGGCUCCCUUUGGAGAAUAGUGGAAAUGGAAAGGUGCUGUAUGACAGAUCAUUGGGAGGUCAGCUGCUGAGUGCAAAGCUAACAGAGAUUUGAGAAGACUUCUGGAAAUUCUGCUUUGAUAUCACCAUAUUCAGACAUGAAUAAAUGGAUUGACUUGCUUAAGUUACAAUAGUCAACAGAGUAAAUUCCUUUAAUAAAUUCUGAUGUAUGCUGUAUGGAUCAGCUAAUACGUACAUUGAAAUGUUUCUUGUAGCAUUUUACCUCUUCUUACCAGUAGCUAUUUUCAUAGACCUUCAUCAGUUCCUCAUUGUUCCAACUAUUUUUCUUAUAAUAAGACUAUUAUUUCACCCAUUUUGUCAUUAAUUUAAUUUCACUCAUUUGUUAAUGGACUUCCUUUCUCUUUAGUACUUAUUUGCCUUCUGCUUUAUCUAUAAAAAGCCCUUUGUAUCCCU